rnacentral:tRNA from 1 species
GCGGGUGUAGCUCAAUGGUAGAGCUCCAGAUUCCCAUUCUGGCGACGUGGGUUCGAUUCCCAUCACCCGCUCCA